rnacentral:rRNA from 1 species
AGAGACAGCAGUAGCCGCGGUAAUACGAAGGGUGCAAGCGUUACUCGGAAUUACUGGGCGUAAAGCGUGCGUAGGUGGUGGUUUAAGUCCGUUGUGAAAGCCCUGGGCUCAACCUGGGAAUUGCAGUGGAUACUGGGUCACUAGAGUGUGGUAGAGGAUAGUGGAAUUUCCGGUGUAGCAGUGAAAUGCGUAGAGAUCGGAAGGAACAUCUGUGGCGAAGGCGACUAUCUGGGCCAACACUGACACUGAGGCACGAAAGCGUGGGGAGCAAACAGGAUUAGAUACCCCCGUAGUCCCUGUCUCUUAUAC